GCUGUAGCCCAGUGGUUUGAGCACCUGCUUUGCAUGCAGAAGCUCCUAGGUUCAAUCCCCAUCAUCUCCA